GGCUGAAACUACGCCUACAUGAAGCUGGAGUUGCUAGUAAUCGCGAAUCAGCAUGUCGCGGUGAAUACGUUCCCGGGCCCUUGUACACACCGCCCGUCACACCAUGAGAGUUGGCAAUACCCAACGUACGUGAUCUAACCCGCAAGGGAGGAAGCGUCCUAAGGUAGGGUCAGCGAUUGGGGUGAAGUCGUAACAAGGUAGC
rnacentral:rRNA from 1 species